rnacentral:rRNA from 1 species
CCUACUGGAGGCAGCAGUGAGGGAUAUUGGUCAAUGGGCGAGAGCCUGAACCAGCGAAGUAGCGUGAAGGAUGACUGCCCUACGGGUUGUAAACUUCUUUUAUAAAGGAAUAAAGUGAGGCACGUGUGCCUCUUUGUAUGUACUUUAUGAAUAAGGAUCGGCUAACUCCGUGCCAGCAUCAGCGGUAAUACGGAGGCUCCGAGCGUUAUCCGGAUUUAUUGGGUUUAAAGGGAGCGUAGAUGGGUUGUUAAGUCAGUUGUGAAAGUUUGCGGCUCAACCGUAAAAUUGCAAUUGAUACUGGCAGUCUUGAGUACAGUUGGGGUAGGCGGAAUUCGUGGUGUAGCGGUGAAAUGCUUAGAUAUCACGAAGAACUCCGAUUGCGAAGGCAGCUUACUAAACUGCCACUGACAUUGAUGCUCGAAAGUGUGGGGAUCAAACAGGAUUAGAUACCCUUGUAGUC